GACGAACGCUAGCGGCAGGCUUAAUACAUGCAAGUCGAGGGGCAGCAUGAAUGUAGCAAUACAUUUGAUGGCGACCGGCAAACGGGUGCGGAACACGUACACAACCUUCCUAUAAGUGGGGAAUAGCCCAGAGAAAUUUGGAUUAAUACCCCGUAACAUAAUGAUGUGGCAUCACAUUAUUAUUAUAGCUACGGCGCUUGUUGAUGGGUGUGCGGCUGAUUAGAUAGUUGGCGGGGUAACGGCCCACCAAGUCUACGAUCAGUAGCUGAUGUGGGAGCAUGACCAGCCACACGGGCACUAGGACACGGGCCCGACUCCUACAGGAGGCAGCAGUAAGGAAUAUUGUUCAAUGGACGCAAGUCUGAACCAGCCAUGCCGCGUGAAGGAUUAAGGUCCUCUGGAUUGUAAACUUCUUUUAUCUGGGACGAAAAAAGGCUAUUCUUAGUCACUUGACGGUACCAGAUGAAUAAGCACCGGCUAACUCCGUGCCAGCAGCCGCCGUAAGAC
rnacentral:rRNA from 1 species